rnacentral:rRNA from 1 species
GACGAACGCUGGCGGCGUGCCUAAUACAUGCAAGUAGAACGCUGAAGCUUGGUGCUUGCACCGAGCGGAUGAGUUGCGAACGGGUGAGUAACGCGUAGGUAACCUGCCUGGUAGCGGGGGAUAACUAUUGGAAACGAUAGCUAAUACCGCAUAAGAGUAGAUGUUGCAUGACAUUUGCUUAAAAGGUGCAAUUGCAUCACUACCAGAUGGACCUGCGUUGUAUUAGCUAGUUGGUGAGGUAACGGCGCACCAAGGCCACGAUACAUAGCCGCCCUGAGAGGGUGAUCGGCCACACUGGGACUGAGACACGGCCCAGACUCCUACGGGAGGCAGCAGUAGGGAAUCUUCGGCAAUGGACGGAAGUCUGACCGAGCAACGCCGCGUGAGUGAAGAAGGUUUUCGGAUCGUAAAGCUCUGUUGUAAGAGAAGAACGAGUGUGAGAGUGGAAAGUUCACACUGUGACGGUAUCUUACCAGAAAGGGACGGCUAACUACGUG